rnacentral:rRNA from 1 species
UACAGAGGUCCCAAGCGUUGUUCGGAUUUACUGGGCGUAAAGGGUGCGUAGGCGGUCGGGUAAGUCUGAUGUGAAAUCUAUGGGCUCAACCCAUAGUCUGCAUCGGAAACUGUCGGGCUUGAGUAUGGGAGAGGUGAGUGGAAUUUCCGGUGUAGCGGUGAAAUGCGUAGAUAUCAGGAAGAACACCCGUGGCUAAGGCGGCUCUCUAGUACGGUACUGACGCUGAGACGCGAAAGCGUGGGGAGCGAACAGG